UAAGUAUUACUAACUAAAAAUAAUUAUAUUAAAAUAAAAUUAAAAAAUAAAUAUAUAAAUGGAAUAUAAUAAAAUAGUAUAAAGCUGUGUCUAUAAUGUGGUCCAUACACCUGCCGGCUGUAGUGGAAACGGUGAAAUAUCUUUAAGUUAUGCAAAUAAUUAAUAACAAAAGAAAAAAACAUUUAAAAAAAAAUAACAACAUGAUAAUGACAUACAAUAAGAGGAGAAAUAAAAAGAGAAAAAAAAAGGAAAGAAAAGUGAGCAGGUAAACAAAGUAUUAGAUCGUUCGUCUUAAGUUAUAAAAAACAGAAUUAAAAAUAUAGAAAAUUAACAUUAAGGCAGAAGCUAAGAGAAUCUAUAGUUACUAUUCUUAGUUGACAAUAGUUGUAUCCGAACGAGCGACAUUGACAAUAAAAUCUUUACAAAGAUAUACACUAUGGAAUUUCAAUGUCAGUACAAAAAGCAUAGUGUCAAAGUCAAUCAACGAGUACGCUGUCAGUUGUCACCAAUGUGGCAAAUGUUUAAUGUAAACAAAUUUGUAAAUAUAAGAAGUAUAAUGAAAUACUUAUGUACCCUUCAAGUAAAACAAAAAGAAAAAAAAAAUAUUAAAUUUACAACAAGGUAACAAGGUACAGGUAAGAGAUAUAAAGAUUUCUCCUCGGGCAGACCAUGUAGCAACAGCAUCUUGCGUCUCCUUCGCAUCUCAUGGCGGUCAAACUCCCUGUCCAGAAAAUCA
rnacentral:misc_RNA from 1 species